UGGGGAAUAUUGGACAAUGGGCGCAAGCCUGAUCCAGCCAUGCCGCGUGAGUGAUGAAGGCCCUAGGGUUGUAAAGCUCUUUCACCGGUGAAGAUAAUGACGGUAACCGGAGAAGAAGCCCCGGCUAACUUCGUGCCAGCAGCCGCGGUAAUACGAAGGGGGCUAGCGUUGUUCGGAUUUACUGGGCGUAAAGCGCACGUAGGCGGACUUUUAAGUCAGGGGUGAAAUCCCGGGGCUCAACCCCGGAACUGCCUUUGAUACUGGAAGUCUUUAGUAUGGUAGAGGUGAGUGGAAUUCCGAGUGUAGAGGUGAAAUUCGUAGAUAUUCGGAGGAACACCAGUGGCGAAGGCGGCUCACUGGACCAUUACUGACGCUGAGGUGCGAAAGCGUGGGGAGCAAACAGG
rnacentral:rRNA from 1 species